rnacentral:rRNA from 1 species
CCUACGGGAGGCAGCAGUAGGGAAUCUUCCGCAAUGGACGAAAGUCUGACGGGGCAACGCCGCGUGAACGAUGAAGGCCUUCGGGUCGUAAAGUUCUGUUGUUAGGGAAGAACAAGUGCUAGUUAAAUAAGCUGGCACCUUGACGGUACCUAACCAGAAAGCCACGGCUAACUACGUGCCAGCAGCCGCGGUAAUACGUAGGUGGCAAGCGUUGUCCGGAAUUAUUGGGCGUAAAGCGCGCGCAGGCGGUUUCUUAAGUCUGAUGUGAAAGCCCCCGGCUCAACCGGGGAGGGUCAUUGGAAACUGGGAAACUUGAGUGCAGAAGAGGAAAGUGGAAUUCCAAGUGUAGCGGUGAAAUGCGUAGAGAUUUGGAGGAACACCAGUGGCGAAGGCGACUUUCUGGUCUGUAACUGACGCUGAGGCGCGAAAGCGUGGGGAGCAAACAGGAUUAGACACCCUGGUAAUCCACGCUGUAAACGAUGAGUGCUAAGUGUUAGAGGGUUUCCGCCCUUUAGUGCUGAAGUUAACGCGUUAAGCACUCCGCCUGGGGAGUACGGUCGCAAGACUGAAACUUAAAUGAAUUGACGG